CCUGAUGCAGCGACGCCGCGUGAGGGAUGACGGCCUUCGGGUUGUAAACCUCUUUCAGCAGGGACGAAGCGCAAGUGACGGUACCUGCAGAAGAAGCACCGGCCAACUACGUGCCAGCAGCCGCGGUAAGACGUAGGGUGCGAGCGUUGUCCGGAUUUAUUGGGCGUAAAGAGCUCGUAGGCGGCUUGUCGCGUCGACCGUGAAAACUUGGGGCUCAACCCCAAGCCUGCGGUCGAUACGGGCAGGCUAGAGUUCGGUAGGGGAGACUGGAAUUCCUGGUGUAGCGGUGAAAUGCGCAGAUAUCAGGAGGAACACCGGUGGCGAAGGCGGGUCUCUGGGCCGAUACUGACGCUGAGGAGCGAAAGCGUGGGGAGCGAACAGGAUUAGAUACCCUGGUAGUCCACGCUGUAAACGUUGGGCGCUAGGUGUGGGGGGCCUCUCCGGUUCUCUGUGCCGCAGCUAACGCAUUAAGCGCCCCGCCUGGGGAGUACGGCCGCAAGGCUAAAACUCAAAGGAAUUGACGGGGGCCCGCACAAGCGGCGGAGCAUGCGGAUUAAUUCGAUGCAACGCGAAGAACCUUACCUGGGUUUGACAUGGCCGCAAAACUUCCAGAGAUGGGAGGUCCUUCGGGGG
rnacentral:rRNA from 1 species